UAUUAUACCAGUAGAUAUAUGCAACUUAAAAUAUUAAUAGAUAUAAUCUUUAAAUUUGAAGAAUUUGGCGGUGACUUAGUCCUGUUAGAGGAACCUGUUUUUGAAUCGAUACACCACGUAUAAUUUUACUUAUUCUAAUUAGUUUGUAUACCGUCAUUAUCAGACAAUUUUUAAAAAAAGAAUUGUUGAAAUUUUGGGCCAAGGGAAAAUUAGAUCAAGGUGCAGCUUAUGAGUAAGUUAAAAUGGGUUACAAUAAAAUUUAUUUACAUGAAAUGGUAUCAAGAAAAUGGAUUAUGAAGGUGGAUUUAAUUGUAAUAUAAAUUUAAUAAGUUUAGAAGAUAUAGGCUCUAAAUCAU
rnacentral:rRNA from 1 species